CUCCACAGGUUUCGCCUCAGGAGCCUCCACAGGUUUCUCUUCAAGAGCCUCCACAGGUUUCACCUCAGGAGCCUCCACAGGUUUCACCUCAGGAGCCUCC